AGAACGAACGCUGGCGGCGCGUUUAAGCAUGCAAGUCGAGCGGCAAGGGCCUUCGGGCCCUAGAGCGGCGGACGGGUGAGUAACACGUGGACAAUCUGCCCCCCGGCCCGGGAUAGCCCAGGGAAACCUGGAUUAAUACCGGAUGAGACGGGACCCGCGAUGGCGGGACCCGGGAAAGGCGCUGCGGCGCCGCCGGGGGAUGAGUCUGCGUCCCAUUAGCUAGACGGCGGGGUAACGGCCCACCGUGGCGACGAUGGGUAGCCGGCCUGAGAGGGUGGACGGCCACAUUGGAACUGAGACACGGUCCAGACUCCUACGGGAGGCAGCAGCUAAGAAUCUUCCGCAAUGGGCGAAAGCCUGACGGGAAGCGACGCCGCGUGAACGAAGAAGGCCGUGAGGUUGUAAAGUUCUUUUCGGGAGGGGGAACAACCGUGGCAGGGAAUGGCCGCGGGAUGACGUGAAUCCCGGAAUAAGCCCCGGCUAACUACGUGCCAGCCGCCGC
rnacentral:rRNA from 1 species